rnacentral:rRNA from 1 species
UUUCGAAUCAUUCACAAUGGGCGAAAGCCUGAUGAUGCAAUGCCGCGUGGAGGAUGAAGGCCCUAGGGUCGUAAACUCCUGUCAUUGGGGAGCAAUAAAUAGGUUAAUAGCCUAUGAUGAGUUAACCCAAAGAGGAAGAGGUGGCUAACUCCGUGCCAGCAGCCGUGGUAAUACGGAGACCUCGAGCGUUACUCGGAUUCACUGGGCGUAAAGGGUGAGUAGGUGGCCAAGUGUGUCAGGUGUGAAAUCCCGGGGCUUAACCCCGGAACUGCGCCUGAAACUACUUGGCUAGAGUCUCGGAGAGGAUAGUGGAAUUCCAAGUGUAGCGGUGAAAUGCGUAGAUAUUUGGAGGAACACCAGUGGCGAAGGCGACUAUCUGGACGAGUACUGACGCUCAAUCACGAAAGCGUGGGUAGCGAAAGGG